ACUCAACGCCGGGAAACUCACCAGAUAAGACAGCUGAAUGAUAGUCGGGCUGAAGACUCUACUUGACUAGCUGAGAGGAGGUGCAUGGCCGUCGUCAGUUCGUACUGUGAAGCAUCCUGUUAAGUCAGGCAACGAGCGAGACCCACGCCAACAGUUGCCAGCUCGUCCUCCGGGAUGGUGGGGACACUGUUGGGACCGCCUCUGCUAAAGAGGAGGAAGGAAUGGGCAACGGUAGGUCAGCAUGCCCCGAAUUAUCCGGGCUACACGCGGGCUACAAUGGUCAGGACAAUGGGCAUCAACACCGAAAGGUGAAGGCAAUCUCUUAAACCUGUCCUUAGUUCGGAUUGUGGGCUGCAACUCGCCCACAUGAAGCUGGAAUCUGUAGUAAUCGCGUCUCAAAAUGGCGCGGUGAAUAUGUCCCUGCUCCUU
rnacentral:rRNA from 1 species